UACAGAGGUGGCAAGCGUUGUUCGGAAUUACUGGGCGUAAAGGGCGCGUAGGCGGCCUUCUAAGUCAGACGUGAAAUCCCCCGGCUUAACCUGGGAACUGCGUCUGAUACUGGAAGGCUUGAGUGCGGGAGAGGGAUGUGGAAUUCCAGGUGUAGCGGUGAAAUGCGUAGAUAUCGUAAGGAAGACCAGUGGCGAAGGCGGGUCUCUGGACAGUUCCUGACGCUGAGGCACGAAGGCCAGGGGAGUAAACGGG
rnacentral:rRNA from 1 species